UGGCAACAAUCCAGCAGUAAAUGUAAAUAUAGGCAUUAGCAAAAAGAGUUGGCAGAGGUCAAAUAAGAGUUUUCUAUUUUCCUGUUCCCCAACCCAUCUUGUCCAGUCAACCACACCUGCUCUGAAAUUCUGCAUUUCUUGACCUUUGUCAUUUCUCUGCUAAGGAAUGAGAGAAAUUGAAUCCUGUGAGUGACAAAAUAUGAUCUGAAAUGACAACAAAGUCACAAAGCACCAGAUGAGGCCUCUGGGACCAAGAGGGUUCGGGUCUGUAGAGUUAUUAGGGCUAGGAGGGAUAUUUGUGAAACUCUAUGGGACAAAAAUAUAUUUCAGAUUGAAUGAGUAACAUCAAGAUAUAAAAUUGUUAAUGAAGGACUCCAGAUGCUGAUACUUCACCGUAACACUCCCACAAGCACCAGACAUAACCUAAAGGUCUGAGAGGCAGUGAAAGGAAUACAGAAGAACAAGCAGUAGAGGCACCAAUCACCUUAUCUUACACCAACUCAGCAGGCCACAAGCUGAAUUUUGCCAGAUGACACUUUCAAUGGAGAGAGUCAUCUUUUCUUAGGAAUGUAAUUUUCCCAGCAGGACAAGAAUCUAAUUUUGACAUUACAAACAAAUAGUUUCCGGAUAUCAAAGUUUACAACUGUCAGAAAAAUGACAGGAAUACGGUUUUUCAUAGGCUUAUUUCUUGCAUUUUGUGAAAGAAACUUUAUCCUUAUGGCUUCUUGAGGUGUAGACCAGCACCACACCAGAGAAUUUAAAGCCCUCCCUGGGCAGACCCUGCAGAAACCCACAGAAACAUUGAAAUCCUGGAUCAUAAGUAGCACAACACCUACCAUAUUUCAUUUUGUGCUACUGCAGCUCUGAUUCCUGAUGCCUCAGACUAUGAAGUCAGAGCUCUGCUUACUUAAGCCCUUUGGGAUAAUAUAAGGGCACUAUAUUUGAGGCAAGAACACUUAAUAAAACCA